AAACUCGCCUACAUGAAGCUGGAGUUGCUAGUAAUCGCGAAUCAGAAUGUCGCGGUGAAUACGUUCCCGGGCCUUGUACACACCGCCCGUCACACCAUGAGAGUUGGCAAUACCCAAAGUUCGUGAGCUAACGCGCAAGCGAGGCAGCGACCUAAGGUAGGGUCAGCGAUUGGGGUGAAGUCGUAACAAGGUAGCCGUAGGAGAACUGCGGCUGGAUCACUCCUUUC
rnacentral:rRNA from 1 species